GAGCUUGACAUCCCACGAACCUGCCAGAGAUGGCGGGGUGCCUUUCGGGGAGCCCGGAGACAGGUGGUGCAUGGCUGUCGUCAGCUCGUGUCGUGAGAUGUUGGAUUAAGUCCCGCAACGAGCGCAACCCUUGCCCGUAGUUACCAGCAGGUGAGGCUGGGGACUCUACGGGGACUGCCGGUGUGAAGCCGGAGGAAGGUGGGGAUGACGUCAAGUCCUCAUGGCCCUGACGCCCAGGGCUACACACGUGCUACAAUGGGCCGGACAACGGGAGGCGACCCUGCGAGGGGGAGCAAAUCCCAAAAAGCCGGCCUCAGUUCGGAUUGCAGUCUGCAACUCGACUGCAUGAAGGUGGAAUCGCUAGUAAUCGCGCAUCAGCACGGCGCGGUGAAUACGUUCCCGGGCCUUGUACACA
rnacentral:rRNA from 1 species